CGGUGUUUAACUGGCGUGAUGUGGGACGUCCUACCGGUGGGCUUAGCCUCGCGAGGGGCGGCCCAACUAAUAUCCCGUCGCGGUGCUCUUUACUGAGUGUCGAGUCGGGCCGGUACGUUUACUUUGAACAAAUUAGAGUGCUUAAAGCAGGCUAUCCUCGCCUGAAUACUGCGUGCAUGGAAUAAUGGAAUAGGACCUCGGUUCUAUUUUGUUGGUUUUCGGAACCCCGAGGUAAUGAUUAAUAGGGACAGAUGGGGGCAUUCGUAUUGCGACGUUAGAGGUGAAAUUCUUGGAUCGUCGCAAGACGGACAGAAGCGAAAGCAUUUGCCAAAAAUGUUUUCAUUAAUCAAGAACGAAAGUUAGAGGUUCGAAGGCGAUCAGAUACCGCCCUAGUUCUAACCAUAAACGAUGCCAGCUAGCGAUCCGCCGAAGUUCCUCCGAUGACUCGGCGGGCAGCUUCCGGGAAACCAAAGCUUUUGGGUUCCGGGGGGGAAGUAUGGUUGCAAAGCUGAAACUUAAAGGAAUUGACGGAAGGGCACCCACCAGGAGUGGGAGCCUGCGGCUUAAUUUGACUCAACACGGGAAACCUCACCAGGCCCAGACACCGGAAGGAUUGACAGAUUGAUAGCUCUUUCUUGAUUCGGUGGGUGGUGGUGCAUGGCCGUUCUUAGUUGGUGGAGCGAUUUGUCUGGUUAAUUCCGAUAACGAACGAGACUCUAGCCUGCUAAAUAGGCGUACCUUAUGGUAUCGCGAAGGCCCCCGGCUUCGGCCGGUGGGUUUUUACUACCAACGUACAAACAAAUCUUCUUAGAGGGCACAGGCGG
rnacentral:rRNA from 1 species